UACGUAGGUCCCGAGCGUUGUCCGGAUUUAUUGGGCGUAAAGCGAGCGCAGGUGGUUUAUUAAGUCUGGUGUAAAGGGCAGUGGCUCAACCAUUGUAUGCAUUGGAAACUGGUAGACUUGAGUGCAGGAGAGGAGAGUGGAAUUCUAUGUGUAGCGGUGAAAUGCGUAGAUAUAUGGAGGAACACCGGUGGCGAAAGCGGCUCUCUGGCCUGUAACUGACACUGAGGCUCGAAAGCGUGGGGAGCAAACAGG
rnacentral:rRNA from 1 species